GAUGAACGCUGGCGGCGUGCCUAAUACAUGCAAGUCGAGCGAACAGACGAGAGUGCUUGCCCUCUCUGACGUUAGCGGCGGACGGGUGAGUAACACGUGGGCAACCUACCUAUAAGACUGGGAUAACUUCGGGAAACCGGAGCUAAUACCGGAUAAUAUUUAGCUUCGCAUGAAGCAAUAGUGAAAGACGGUUCUGCUGUCACUUAUAGAUGGACCCGCGGUGUAUUAGCUAGUUGGUGAGGUAACGGCUCACCAAGGCAACGAUACAUAGCCGACCUGAGAGGGUGAUCGGCCACACUGGGACUGAGACACGGCCCAGACUCCUACGGGAGGCAGCAGUAGGGAAUCUUCCGCAAUGGACGAAAGUCUGACGGAGCAAUGCCGCGUGAGUGAAGAAGGUUUUCGGAUCGUAAAACUCUGUUGUAAGGGAAGAACAAGUACGUUAGUAACUGAACGUACCUUGACGGUACCUUACCAGAAAGCCACGGCUAACUACGUG
rnacentral:rRNA from 1 species